GCUAAGAUAGCUCAAGACAUGUACAACAAGGUUUGGACCUCCCAACAAGGCCUGCUCAUACAGUAUACAUGGAGCUGCAUUGGGCACUGCAGGAUGCAGGGGAUCAACCACUAUAGGUCCGACAUCGAGCCCUCUCCUCCGUUGACCUUGGGUCGUCACCAGCGCAGGCCGCCGCUCGGGCCACAUGUUCCUUAAACAAGAACCGUAGAUGGAUACACUCAUGUCAAGGGUUUGGGAGACUGAUGCUGCAGC